rnacentral:lncRNA from 1 species
ACUUACUUGCAAAUAAUUUAAAAACAAGACUUGAUUUAUAAAAAUGUCCAAACAAACCAUGAUUUUUUUUUUAAACAUACAUCACAUCCAUUGCAAAAGGCUAAAAUUCGCCAGGUCUUUAAUUUCAACUAAGUGAGUUGACUAAAUUAAUGUUGCGGACCAUUUUCCAAUUUCCAUGCGGUAUCCCUAUUUUUUUUCUCGCUCAUCUUUUAUGUUUGUUUUUUUUUCAUCCCAAGACCUCUUGGAGCUUUCAUUCUAUAAAGUGUGUAUUUUGCUAAUGGUCGAAGGCCAUACGGGGACCUAUAGCUUGAUAACGCCUGUUGGUCCCUGGAAAGAAUGUGUCUGAUUGUCUAUCACACUUCAUAUUCUUAUUUUAACAUGCAGUUAUAUCUAUGAUAAGAAUGAAAAUUGAAUUGUCAUUGAGACAAAAACCCAACCAAAGAGCAAAAAAAAAAAGAAAAAAAAAAGCCCAAGGCAACAUGUAGAUCUUUCGUAUCAAGGGAAUUGCUAUAAAUAUAUUUAUUUCAGGUUAAUAGUAUUAGGCCAUACUCAAGUUAUAAAAUAGAUCUUGUCGUCAACUUUUGCAACCAGCUUCUAUGUUUCUAUAAUGCACUGUUCAUCUUUUUUGGGCUUCGACUUUUCCAUUGGACAGAC